GUAUACACAAUCAUAAACAAGCUGCUGCACAUGGAAAGCUACAGACUUACAGUCUAACAUUUCAAAAUCUGUCUCAGUGCUCAUUCUAACUUAGUCACUUGUACUAUUAAAGUUUGUUAUCUUUCUUUUAUUACAGAAAAUGUAAUUCAUUAUAGAUUGAGACCAAGCUCUCUUGAGUAACUGUUCUCUAAAUAUUUGAUUGGGUGAAUUGCUAUAGACUGGUUUUGAAACUAAAUUCAAUUUUUGUGAUUUCAGUAUUGAACUUUUGAUGGCAUGAGGAAACAAACUGGUUUCACCAAAGUUGCACGAGGGCCAGAAACUAAAUGGCUUCAUGAUUGACAAUACAUUUACAUCAAAGGCAGUGUACAUUAGACAAUGACACAUUUACGUUUGUCACCACAGAUUUAGAGGACAGUGGUGUGGAGGUUGACACGACAACAGCAUCUAGUGACCACAGAAGUACCACACCAGUCAUUGUAUGACUACAAGGGCUAAGGAUACCUUAAUCCACCUGAGUGACAGAUUAUUUGCUGUUGAGACUGUUCUGAAAUAUUUGGUUUCUGCAUGCAACAAUAAAUAAGAAACAUUU